ensembl:lncRNA
GAAAUACCAGACUGCUCCAAACUUAUAGUUUUAGAUAAUAUGAAAUUAGUAUCUCUUUUUUUUUUUAACCCUUCUAGAAGUUUCUAGUUCCGCAAACAAGCAAGAUAUGGCUCCAAGAAGCUUACUUAACAUAGGAAGACAAUGAGUCAGAGCUCUGGAAUGUGAGAACUGGAUGAGACCUUGGAGACCAUUCAAGUAGUCCUAUCUUUCCUUUCACAGAUGGGGAAACUGAGUCCUGGGGAUCUUUGUCCCAAAUCUCACGGUUACUGAACGGCUACGUUGGAACUAGAUGCAAGGUCUUGCAAUUUUCUCUAAAUUUUCUACAUGGCCACCUCAAAAAGAAAGCAUGCUGCACCUUUCAUUUUCUGGUGCAAAGCAGAAGAAAUGCGGAAGGAAGAGAAGGAGAAAGAAUCAAAACCUCCAGUGCAAGGUUGAAUGGAAGUAUCAAGAAUGAACAUCUUUGUCUUGUACCCGAUCUUAGGAGGAAAAGGUCUCCCUCCAUUGUCCUCUCCUCCCAUAAUCUUCAAUUCCAGUGGAAGACAGCACUUGGCUCUCGGGAAAGAGCAGAAAAAGGAAUGGAAUGAAAGUUCUUCACGGCGUUUCAGGGGAUUUGUUUGAAGCCACAGCGAUGACCCCGCUCCAAGUCCCUGCUGGAGUCCCUGUGGGACCACUCAGAAGUAGGACUCUGUCCUCAGGCCACUCCUGAGAGUGGGCCACAGGGUGGACCCUGAAAGGGCUGCCUCUUUGCUGGGCCUCUGGGGCCCGUCACCCUCUCUCCCAGUGUCCUCUGUGCAGACUGUGGCUGCCUCGGCCAGCGCAACAGCAGGGGCCCCCAAUUCACUCCUCAGCCCACCCAGACCUCAGGCCAGAAACUCUGAAUGAACGUUUUCCUGGUUUUCCUGUGUCCUGAUUCUCUGGAUGACUAACUGUCUCUAGAAGCCCGAACAAUCCAGUCACCUCAAGCCCCCAGGCUUGGAUUUGUGCAACCAGCUUCUCAGAAGGCCCUGGGAACCCCUGACUGAGGUAGGUGUGGCUGUCCUCAGUGACCCUCCCACAACUCUUGGAGCACAAUUGGUCUGGGAGUUGAGUGAAGAGUUUUUGGUCAACUUAAUCUCUUUAUUGUGGACUUCUGCUCCUGAACAGGCUCCAGCAAGUCGGCUAACCACAGCUCUUCCUCCUACGCUUUGAGUCUCUGUGGAGGCCGUGUUCUGGAGGGGUCCUCCGAGCACCAAUGCACCCCUCUUCCGAUAACAGAACCCAAAUCUCCUUAGAAUAAUAACUCCUCUUUCUCUCUGAGCAUGUGACUCAAGCUGCUCAAUUCACAUAUUUUAAUCUCCGGUGACAGUGAUUGCUUCAGGGACCAGCUCAUAAGCCAAGUUUGUCCCAGCAGAGUAAAUCCUGGUAGUUAUUCAGAAGCUAACAGGGUGAGAUGUAUGCUUUUCUCCACAGCUUCUAACUUGAAAAACUUUGGGCCUUAGAGCUGUUGGCCGCCAUCCUGAUCCACCAAAUACAGUCCAAGAAUAAAGUCCAUAUGAAGGAAGGGGAAUAGAGCUGAGGGAUAAAGACAUUGCUAGACAUUUUAUGCACUCCUGGAUCAAGCUGUGCCUAAACUCAAUUUAUCUCCUAAACUUUCUAAUUACAUGAAUAA